rnacentral:tRNA from 1 species
GUCAGGAUGGCCGAGCGGUCUAAGGCGCCAGACUUAAGGUUAGUAACCUUCCCCCAUGUCACGAGUGUUCUGGUCUCUGAAUGGUGGCGUGGGUUUGAAUCCCACUUCUGACA